rnacentral:misc_RNA from 1 species
GAUGAAGAACGCAGCGAAAUGCGAUAAGUAAUGUGAAUUGCAGAAUUCAGUGAAUCAUCGAAUCUUUGAACGCACAUUGCGCCCCUUGGUAUUCCGAGGGGCAUGCCUGUUCGAGCGUCAUUAUAACCCCUCAAGCUCAGCUUGGUGUUGGGGCCUGCCGCACGGGCAGCCCUUAAAAUCAGUGGCGGUGCCAUCUGGCUCUAAGCGUAGUAAUUCUUCUCGCUAUAGAGUCCCGGUGGAUGCUUGCCAUUAACCCCCAAUUUUCUAUGGUUGACCUCGGAUCAGGUAGGGAUACCCGCUGAACUUAAGCAUAUCAAUAAAGGA